CAAAAGGCAAAAACCCUACAACUCCAUCGUCACUGUGUGUGUUUCCGGCCGCUGAUUGCCGCCGUUUGUUCGCCGGCGACGUUCUUCCUUCACGUACAUGCACACACUAACAGGUGAAUCUAGCUGAUGAGUAUGGCACCACGUAGCAGGAGUGUGAAACGCCGGAAGAUUGAUUAUGACAGUGUUCAAAAAGCUCUUGUAGAUAUGAUAAUAGCUGAUGAACUUCCGUUCUCUGUCGUCGAAGAAGAGGAAUUUAUUGAACGUAUGAAAACCGUGUUUCUUGGUUUUGAUAUGCCAACUAGUGAUAUGAUUUCUAGGGAUUGCGCCCAACGUUUCAUGGAUGACAAGUUGAAGUUGAAAAGUUUUAUUAAGAGAACAAAACAAAGGGUUUGCUUAAGCUUGGAUACUUGGAGAAGAUCUAACCAAUCUGUGAAUUACUUAUGCAUAACUGCUCAUUUUAUCGACAACAAUUGGAAUAUGC
rnacentral:lncRNA from 1 species